AACGAACGCUGGCGGCAGGCUUAACACAUGCAAGUCGAACGGGCGUAGCAAUACGUCAGUGGCAGACGGGUGAGUAACACGUGGAAACCUUCCUCGUAGUACGGAACAACUCAGGGAAACUUGAACUAAUACCGUAUACGUCCGAGAGGAGAAAGAUUUGUCGCUAUGAGACGGGCCCGCGUCCGAUUAGGUAGUUGGUGGGGUAACGGCCUACCAAGCCGACGAUCGGUAGCUGAUCUGAGAGGAUGAUCAGCCACACUGGGACUGAGACACGGCCCAGACUCCUACGGGAGGCAGCAGUGGGGAAUCUUGGACAAUGGGCGCAAGCCUGAUCCAGCCAUGCCGCGUGAGUGAAGAAGGCCUUAGGGUUGUAAAGCUCUUUUGCCAGGGACGAUAAUGACGGUACCUGGAGAAUAAGCCCCGGCAAACUUCGUGCCAGCCGCCGCCGUAAGAC
rnacentral:rRNA from 1 species